rnacentral:lncRNA from 1 species
GCAUAUCCGAAGAAGUGUAUUUUAUUUAUAUUAAAACAUUGGGAUGCCAUUGUCAAUACAAAAACAUAAGCAUACAAAAUAUUACAAGCCUUAUAGUAAUUAAACUAGUGACUUAAUACUCCUUGAAUCUUGCAGCAGAAUGCAUCUUUCGUAUAGCUACAUGUCAUACAAUAAACUGAGUGGGUCAGGUUGGGAAACCUGGUGAGUACAUAGGGAUUUCAAUUCCACAAUGUGAUAAUACUGUAUAUCUCAAACCUGCAAUUCCAACUAUUAUCAUUAACAUAUAUAUAUAUAUAUAUAUAUANNNNNAUAUAUAUAUAUAUAUAUAUAUCAUAUCUCUAAAACAAUUUAUCCUAUCCCGUCAAUUCCCACGUAUAGAUCCUAUACAACGAUCUUACAAAACCUAGCAUUAUUAUUGCUAAGUUUAAGUCUAAUAUUUAUUUCAACUAAUUAUUAGUCUAGAUUCAUCAUUAACUCAAAGCCUACUUCAUGAUUUAUCAAGUAAGGAACAACCAGGUAGGAUCAUAUCGGAGGUAGGGUCUGUUUGGUAUACAAAGUAUACUGUUUGGAGAUCCCACUUUAAAUACCUCACAAAAUCACAGCCUAGACAUCAUCACCGUAAGUAGAUCAAUUAGUAUAAUGACUUGGAAUCAUUGAUAAAUCUUUUUAUAGGUUCAUAAUAACGAUAAUGAACUUAAACAUAAGUUAUACUUGAAGUAGGGUAAGCAUAACUCACUUACAAGGGGGUUUAGCGAAGAACCGAGCUCUUCGCGGGCAGAACUUUUGAGCCGGAAGCUCUUCCUCUCGGGGCCUUUUGGUGCUCCGGAACUCGCCACUAACACCUAGGAGGGGCUAGGGAAAAGCCUUGAGGGUUUGGGGGUAUUUGGGAGAGAAGUUGCGAAAAGGUGUGAAGAAAUGGGAUGAUUUGCG